rnacentral:rRNA from 1 species
CGACCGGCGCACGGGUGAGUAACGCGUAUGCAACCUGCCCGUUUCAGCGGGAUAACCCGGAGAAAUCCGGCCUAAUACCGCAUGUGGCCGAGGGGAGGCAUCUUCUUUCGGCCAAAGGAGGCGACUCCGGAGACGGAUGGGCAUGCGUGACAUUAGCUAGUUGGCGGGGUAACGGCUCACCAAGGCGACGAUGUCUAGGGGUUCUGAGAGGAAGGUCCCCCACACUGGUACUGAGACACGGACCAGACUCCUACGGGAGGCAGCAG